UCCUGAUAAGCACAAUAAAAUUUUCUCAAUCAGCUAACCGCCCUGAGCCGAGCCAUUUUCAGCGCGGCUCCUCAUCCCCAGGUGGGUCAAGGAGCAGCAGUGAUGAGCACUCACGCAGCCUCAAAGUCUCAGAGUUUCUCUUGGAGAAUAGCUUAUUGUUUUGGGAUAUCGAACCCCUGCGUCGUGCGUGGUGUUGCUGGCACUGUUUUUUUCUCUGUCACGGCUUCCUCUUGAUGCAAGAGGUGCCCGCUAAGGAAGCGUUGCCGGCGGAGAAAUUGAUACCUCAGGACGUUGUUCUUUACCAGUACGAAGCUUGCCCUUUGGGCAACAAGGUUAAAGACACUCUAUUUUCGGCUUUGUAGUGGAGCAACAAGGAAAUUGUUUACCUUGUUUCGUUGCCUUGAAAUCAAUUUUGAGGUUGUUUUCUGCUCUAUUGUCACAUUGGGGAUGUAAAUUUAAUGGGGUAGAACCAAAUUUACCUGUGUAUUUUGUUUUUGUCAUACUAAAAGGCAUUCAUUUUGAGGCGGGGGGGUUUUUCUGCUGUUGGAAGUAUCUUCUUACAAACAAUGUAUUUUAACAAAUGCGUGUAGCUGCUUUUCUGUGAAGGCAUUUGAAUAGGUACAUGACUAUGCUCUCUAGGAUUCAUAACCUAUCAAUCAAGAUGGAUGCCAGUUUAAAAGGUUGAUGGGGGUGAUUGUUUUCAGUUCUGUUGCAGGCUGUAGAGUUGGUUUGAGAUGUUAAGUUACGGGUCCAUAUCUACGACCUGCAGUAUGUUUGAUCCUUCAUGUAUUUGGACAUUUUCCUCGCCAAUUACCAUUGUGUUUUUUCCUUCGAUUUUCUGUGGUUAAACAGCUGGUUCUUGUGUGGUGGAGGCCAGAGAAAUGAACACCAAAUUUAUAUGCUUUAUUUAUUUUACUAUUCUUGUAAACUUACGUGCUUUAUGUUUAUAGGCAUGAUUGAUAAAUUUUUUCUAAGGAUACAUCCAGACUACUCUGUUCCUGACAGUAACGAAGACAGGAAAUGGUGCUAGUAUUGUUGCAUUUCUUACACUUAAUUUUUUAGGCAUUUACUGGCUCAAAAAUCUACGUUAGCGAUUAUAUAAACAAGUUAUUUGUGUCCGUGCUAUGGUAUCUUGUUUUUACAAAUUGCUUGUUGCCACAGAUUCAAACAUUUCUGGUAUAAUCACAUGUUUUCAUUUGCUGCUACACUUCGCUUUGGCAAAUAAUAUUUGAAAAUUGAUGUUGCAAAGACUUGUGAUGUGGGUGGGUGGACAAUCACUUGGUGCAUGUUUUGUCGCCAAACAUAUCGAUCAACUCCUGAAGUUCUUGAAUCAUUCGACUAGAUCACCACCCAUGGUAGGAUAUUUAGGCUUACAGCAUUAUAAUUUUUUACUCGAACCAUCUUGAUGGUGUUUUGUUUGGUUGAGCUUUUACAUCAUUUUGUUUAGAAUCCUUAGUUUAAGCUAACUGUUAUUCUCUUAUGAUCCUCCCCGACAAAUUCAGGCAAUUUCAGCUUCACUGAGAGGUUGGUAGCUAGUAUGCAGGAGCUGUAAUGUACUUUAUGUCAAAGAGAACUGAUGAAGAAACAUAACAUUACUGACGAAUGGGUAGAAACUCUGAAAAGUUGCGAUUCAUGAAUAUCUUGGUCAUUAUUUCUUUUUUCUCCGAUGAUGAUCUUGCUCGCUGUUUAGUGUCAAGAUAUGAGACUUGGCCUUCUGUCAGAGCCAUCAACUGUUCUGUUGUAUUUCUUAAUAGGUGGCUUUUAACCCAGUUUAGUUGA